GUUAGGACUCCUGUCCGCGUGUGGAGGAAACCAACUGAUUGGAAGGACUUUAAAAAUGAGCGAGGAAAGAGCCGAAGAUAGCUUACUGAAUCGCCCAUCUUCUAAUCUCUACCAUAGCCAGAUUUUAGUUUGAACCAAUUUGAGGUUCUGGGGGCAAUAGCAGAGGGCAGAAAAACUAGAUAGAUAGAAACGGGCAAUGCCAGGGUGAUUCCAGUCCAAAGGGGUUGAGCGGGCUUCCUGCCAGUCUCAAAUCUGAGCCAGUUACGAAAGCGAUGACGUUAUAGAACAGAAUUGGGAAUGUUACUGGCUUUGCAACCUUGCUGACUGGAUGCAUGCUUUCCCUGCUUUGAAAUGGUGAAAACAGCCAGGGACCUGAGAGCAGAAAAGAGAGAAAUGAGACAGAAUGUCUGAGGAAGGAGAUAAGAUCCCGCAAGAAGCUAGAGGACAGAAGGAGCUCAGCCAAGGAAGAACACCAAGAGGCAUCCAUGGCCCCCCUGGUUGAAAAAGGGUCCAAAUAGUCCUUUAUUUCUACAUCACCAUGACAGAUGCCACUGGGUGUUUUGAGCCCAGUUUACCAUUUCAGGAGGGCAGGAUGGCAGCCAUAAAAGGGCAUCCCAGAUGCUGAGUGACAGAGGUGGGCGGUUGGAACGGGGGCUCCUCAAGACGACUUGCGUCACCCUCCAACUGCUUGUGGCAUCUUACUCAAGUGUAAUCUGCUUUCUUGCCUUUUCAUGGGAAUAAAAGAAUAAAAGGUAUUUUAAUAGAAUAAAGUAAUUUCUGAAAAUGCAAAAGAAGAUUUUAACAAGCUACCCACACACCUUCACCAACUCUUCUUCCAUGACAACCUUGCAAUUCAUCUUAAAUAAAAGUCAUUGGUGUGACUCUUCAGGUUUACUUCCUUUUAGAAGUAAUUAUGUAAGUAUGUCUAAUGGCCAUCAUUUAAGGAGAACUGGUAAUUAGCAUGCCAAGUGUUACCAUGAAUGCUUUAAUGUAUUACCUAAAAUAAUCUUUUCCACUCUGAAGUGGGACCUUGUGUUAGUCAGGGUUCUCCAGAGAGACAGGAUAUAUCGAGUGAACUAUCUGAGAUGAAUGUAUUUGGGGAAUUGGCUCACAUGAUUACAGAGGCUGAGAAGUUCCAUGAUGGACUGUCUGCGAGCUGGAGAACCAGGGAAGUGAGUACUGUGGCUCAGGCCAUGUCCAAAGGCCUCAGAAACAGGGAAGCUGCUGGUGGAACUUCUCACUUUUUGUGCCAAGGCUGAAGUCAUGAGAACCUGUGGACGGGGGUUUGUGCAGGUCUCUGAUGCCACAAGCUGGAGAACCUGGAGUUCUGGUGUCAAAGGGCUUGAGAAGAAGGAUGUCCCAGCUAGAGAGAGAUUGCUUUUCCUUUGCCUUUUUGUUCUAUUUGGGCCUUCAGCCAAUUGGAUGGUGCCCACUCACAUUGGGUGAGGGCAGAUCCUCCUCCCCACUCAGUCCAGUGACUUAAAUGCCAAUACCCUCCAGAAACACCUGCACAGGUACACCCAGAAGUAAUGCUUUAUCAGAUAUCUAGGUGUCAUCUAAUCUAAUCAGGUAGACACCAAAUGUUAACCAUCACAGACCUAUUCUCUUCACGUUCUGCUUGAGGAAACUUCAGUCUGGAAAAGUUCUGUAGCUUGCUGAGAUGGUGGCAAAGUUAGGGCCAGAGGCAUUUAUUGUGUUGCUAGAGCUCAUGCUCCUCACAUGAGGCAAAACCUCCAUUUCCCAUUAGAAAUAGGCCAUCAGUCUGCAUGUGCAUAAUGUUCAUGUGAAUGAUGGGAUGUUAGUGAGGAAAUCAGGGAUAGGGUAGGUUACAAUUUUGAAUACAUGGGUGAAGACCGAUCACUUCAGGUCAACUUUAUGCUCUGGGUCUUAGCUUUGUGAGACCAUAUUCUAUCACUACAUUUUCUCUGGAAAAAUGGAGAUCGAAACUCUAAUACUUUCUCCAUUUAUUCUUUGCCUCUGUCUUGGAUCUUCAAAUGCCCAUGGACAACUAGGUCUCCAUUUUGUGAAGAAAAAAUCUCCCACAUAUACUACUCAAAACUAAUACUGUAAUCGAUUGCUACUGUGAGACACCAGCAUUACAUAGAGAAUGGGAAAAAAACAAAGGGAAAAUUAGUGCAAGAAAAGUAAAAUAUCAAUCAUCUUGGUUGGUAUUUUAAUUUUCAUAUACCUGCAUUCAUUCUGGAUUGAUAUUUCCAUGUGACCUUUCUAACACAUUCUUAUGGUUUUUCAUACAUAUAAUGAAAGAUGAGUGCAGUCUGUGAUAUGGUGACUUUUGUCUGUCUAUUGCCACUACCAAUUGCCUUCCUCUCUGUGCAGAAAUCAUGGGUAAGAGAGUUGUUUUCCUGCUCUGCUUUUGAGUACUUUGCAGUCUUUCCAGUCAAGUUUGAAAUUUGGUGACAGUUUGCUCUUCUACUUGGUCCUUAUAGAGGCCCGGAGAGGUGGCCCACCCAUUGGGAAAGUUAGAAACCUAGUUUGGUCUAGUGGACAACUGACUGAGUCAGUAGCCACUUCCUAUGUCAACCUGAAUACUGUAGAUUUUUCCCAUUUGUAGACUCAUGAUGAAGUACAUGAAAAAAAUCAUACUUAGGAAUUUUAUAAAUGUUUCAUCAAACUGGAAUGAAGUCAUUUUCAACAUACAUUCAAGGCCAUAGUAUGUAGAGGUGAGAAGACUCCCUGAAAAUGAAUUCUUUGUGUAUCAUAAAAUAAUACCUCUUAUAAUAAAAAUAUUAAGAAAAAAAUAAAAUUUAAAUUUUGUUAGUCUAGUUAUUCAGAGAUAAAUGUGAUAAAUACCGUGGUGU